rnacentral:rRNA from 1 species
UACGUAGGGGGCAAGCGUUGUCCGGAAUUAUUGGGCGUAAAGCGCACGUAGGCGGCUUAGCAAGUCGGAUGUGAAAUCCCUCGGCUCAACCAAGGAAGUGCAUCCGAAACUGCUGAGCUUGAGUACGAAAGAGGAUCGCGGAAUUCCUGGUGUAGCGGUGAAAUGCGCAGAUAUCAGGAAGAACACCUAUGGCGAAGGCAGCUCUCUGGGACGGUACUGACGCUGAGACGCGAAAGCGUGGGGAGCGAACAGG